rnacentral:rRNA from 1 species
CCUACGGGAGGUAGCAAGUGGGAAUUUUGCGCAAUGGGCGAAAGCCUGACGCAGCGACGCCGCGUGAGGGAAGAAGGCCUUCGGGUCGUAAACCUCUGUUGACGGGGAAGAAGCACUGACGGUACCCGUUAAGAAAGCCUCGGCUAACUCCGUGCCAGCAGCCGCGGCAAGACGGAGGAGGCAAGCGUUGUCCGGAUUGACUGGGCGUAAAGCGCGUGUAGGCGGGGCCCUAAGUCGGCGGUAAAAGUCUCCCGCUCAACGGGAGGAGGGCCGCCGAAACUGUGGUUCUUGAGGGCAGGAGAGGAGAGUGAAAUUGCCGGUGUAGCGGUGAAAUGCGUAGAGAUCGGCAAGAACACCCGUGGCGAAGGCGGCUCUCUGGACUGCUUCUGACGCUGAGACGCGAAAGCCAGGGGAGCGAACGGGAUUAGAUACCCUUGUAGU